rnacentral:rRNA from 1 species
CUGUAAGCCGUUGAAGGUGUGCUGUGAGGCAUGCUGGAGGUAUCAGAAGUGCGAAUGCUGACAUAAGUAACGAUAAAGCGGGUGAAAAGCCCGCUCGCCGGAAGACCAAGGGUUCCUGUCCAACGUUAAUCGGGGCAGGGUGAGUCGACCCCUAAGGCGAGGCCGAAAGGCGUAGUCGAUGGGAAACAGGUUAAUAUUCCUGUACUUGGUGUUACUGCGAAGGGGGGACGGAGAAGGCUAUGUUAGCCGGGCGACGGUUGUCCCGGUUUAAGCAUGUAGGCGGAACGAUUAGGUAAAUCCGGUCGUUU